GGUUCCUCUUCCCAUCCCCUGGAUUCCAUUAUUCCUAGGACUCCUUCAAGGGCCCUAACCCUUCCGGCUCUUCCUUUCCUCACCUUUCCCUCCACACGGCGCGAACUGUCCGUUUCACACUCUUCGGCUCCCCUGACAUCCAGAAACCACCACUGCCUUCCUGGCGACUCCACCCAGAAGUUCCGACACCAGCAUCUGGCCUUCGUCUCCAACCUGCACUUCUUGCCUUCCCUCCAGCCUGUCUCCGUCCACCCCGCCGAGUCCUUGUCUCCCAGACGACACUGCCACUCAUCAGGCAUGCAGCAAGCCUUCAGGAAAUGCUGACAAAACAGGAAACAAAAUCCUGGUCCUUCAGGGAAAGGAGGGCACAAUCCAGAGAGAACGUUAGAUGGGGUGGAAGGAGAAGUCACCAGUCCAGAUCUAAGGACAAGAGAAGACACAGGAAGGAAAAAUGAAGCAGGGGCCACACAGCACAUGCCAAAGAAGAUAAAGCAAAGCUUUAAACUUCAGUGCUGACAGGAACCAAGGACAUCUCCUGAGUCUCGUGGUGCAGGAAAACCCGGGGACCUGAACAACAUCUGCUACUCAGCCCCAGUCCAUCGCUGCUGAAUAUCGCCGCCAACCAGCAUUGUCAGGUCUUUUUUUUUUUUUUUUUCAGGAGGAACCAGAAAUCCAGAGCUGGUAUGAAAAUCCCACACACUUGAGAUAUUGGCAGCUACUUUCACAUAUUUUAAGAGACUUUUCAGACCAAACAAAACUGUCUGAAGCUAAAUGUGAACCCACAGCCUCCGUGUGAGAUUCCUGUGGCUCAGACUUCUUUGGCACAGGGACAUUGCCUCCACUGUGACACUGUGGCAAGGCUAAUUCCGGAAG
rnacentral:lncRNA from 1 species